rnacentral:rRNA from 1 species
UACUAGCCGUUGGUCUCUUUGAGGGAUUAGUGGCGCAGCUAACGCGAUAAGUAGACCGCCUGGGGAGUACGGUCGCAAGACUAAAACUCAAAUGAAUUGACGGGGGCCCGCACAAGCGGUGGAGCAUGUGGUUUAAUUCGAUGCAACGCGAAGAACCUUACCUGGUUUUGACAUAGUAAGAACUUUCCAGAGAUGGAUUGGUGCCUUCGGGAACUUACAUACAGGUGCUGCAUGGCUGUCGUCAGCUCGUGUUGUGAGAUGUUGGGUUAAGUCCCGCAACGAGCGCAACCCUUUUCCUUAUUUGCCAGCACUUUGGGUGGGAACUUUAAGGAUACUGCCAGUGACAAACUGGAGGAAGGCGGGGACGACGUCAAGUCAUCAUGGCCCUUACGACCAGGGCUACACACGUGCUACAAUGGUCGGUACAAAGGGUUGCUACCUAGCGAUAGGAUGCUAAUCUCAAAAAGCCGAUCGUAGUCCGGAUUGUAGUCUGCAACUCGACUCCAUGAAGUCGGAAUCGCUAGUAAUCGCGGAUCAGAAUGCCGCGGUGAAUACGUUCCCGGGCCUUGUACACACCGCCCGUCACACCAUGGGAGUUUGUUGCACCAGAAGUGGAUAGUCUAACUGCAAAGAGGACGUUCACC